rnacentral:siRNA from 1 species
AAAGUCUGUUAUUACUAAAAAGGU